rnacentral:rRNA from 1 species
UACGUAGGGUGCGAGCGUUGUCCGGAAUUAUUGGGCGUAAAGAGCUCGUAGGCGGUUUGUUGCGUCGGCUGUGAAAUCCCGAGGCUCAACCUCGGGUCUGCAGCCGAUACGGGCAGGCUAGAGUUCGGUAGGGGAGACUGGAAUUCCUGGUGUAGCGGUGAAAUGCGCAGAUAUCAGGAGGAACACCGGUGGCGAAGGCGGGUCUCUGGGCCGAUACUGACGCUGGAGGCACGAAAGCGUGGGGAGCAAACAGG